GCCAGAGCAAUUAGACGAAAGAAAUUAAAGGCAUAAAGAUAGGAAAAGAAGAACUUAAAUUAUCACUAUUUGUGGAUGAAAUGAUCCUAUACCUAGCAGACCCAAAAAUUUCUACAAAGAAACUACUUGAGCUAAUAAAUGAAUUCAGCAAAGUGGCAGGAUAUAAAAUCAGUGCGCAUAAAUCAAAGGCAUUCCUGUACAUCAGUGACAAAUCUUCUGAAAUGGAAAUGAGGACAACCACCCCAUUCACAAUAUCCUCAAAAAAAAAUAAAAUACUUGGGAAUCAACCUAACAAAAGAGAUGAAAGAUUUAUACAAUGAAAACUACAGAACCCUAAAGAGAGAAAUAGAAGAAAAUCUUAGAAGAUGGAAAAAUAUACCCUGUUCAUGGAUAGGCAGAACUAACAUCAUCAAAAUGGCGAUAUUACCAAAAGUUCUCUAUAGGUUUAAUGCAAUGCCAAUCAAAAUCNAUCCUGGGAACAAAUUUUUACUCCUCACACUUCAGAUAGAGCCCUAAUAUCCAGAGUAUACAAAGAACUCAAAAAAUUAAACAAUAAGGAAACAAAUAACCCAAUCAACAAAUGGGCCAAGGACCUGAACAGACACUUCUCAGAGGAGGACAUACAAUCAAUCAACAAGUACACGAAAAAAUGCUCACCAUCUCUAGCAGUCAAAGAAAUGCAAAUUAAAACCUCCCUAAGAUACCAUCUCACUCCAGUAAGAAUGGCAGCCAUUAUGAAGUCAAACAACAACAAGUGCUGGCGAGGAUGUGGGGAAAAGGGUACACUUGUGCAUUGCUGGUGGGACUGCAAAUUGGUGCGGCCAAUUUGAAAAGCAGUAUGGAGAUUCCUGGGAAAGCUGGGAAUGGAUCCACCAUUUGACUCAGCUAUUGCCCUUCUCGGACUAUUCCCCAAAGACCUUAAAAGAGCGUAAUAUAGAGAUACAGCUACAUCGAUGUUCAUAGCAGCACAAUUCACAAUAGCUAGAAUGUGGAACCAACCUAGAUGCCCUUCAGUAGAUGAAUGGAUUAAAAAAAUGUGGCAUUUAUACACAAUGGAGUAUUACUCAGCACUAAAAAAAUGACAAAAUCAUGGCAUUUGCAGGGAAAUGGAUGGCACUAGAGCAGAUUAUGCUAAGUGAAGCUAGCCAAUCCCUAAAAAACAAAUGCCAAAUGUCUUCUUUGAUAUAAGGAGGGCAACUAAGAACAGAGCAGGGAGGAAGAGCAUGAGAAGAAGAUUACCAUUAAACAGGGACCAGAGGUGGGAGGGAAAGGGAGAGAGAAGAGAAUUUGCAUGGAAAUGGAAGGAGACCCUCAUUGUUAUACAAAAUUACAUAUAAGAGGAAGUGAGGGGAAAGUAAAGGGAAAAAAAAAACAAGAGAGAGAAAUGAAUUACAGUAGAUGGGGUA
rnacentral:lncRNA from 1 species